CACGUAGGGUGCGAGCGUUGUCCGGAAUUAUUGGGCGUAAAGGGCUCGUAGGCGGCCAACUAAGUCCGACGUGAAAUCCCCAGGCUUAACCUGGGAACUGCGUCGGAUACUGGAUGGCUUGAAUUCGGGAGGGGGAUGCAGAAUUCCAGGUGUAGCGGUGAAAUGCGUAGAUAUCUGGAGGAAUACCGGUGGCGAAGGCGGCAUCCUGGACCGACAUUGACGCUGAUGAGCGAAAGCUAGGGGAGCAAACGGG
rnacentral:rRNA from 1 species